CUGUAUUUUUAUGAAACAUUAUACCCUUCUUUAGAGCUAAUGUUGGAUAUCUCUGAAUCCCCUACAGGAUGGCCGUGUGUCCUUCAUUGGUCACCAGCUGGGCGGCGUGUCCUUCUCGCCCAACAGCCGCGACCAACAGGUCAAGUUCGCCCGCGCUGUCCAGAUCACCUACUACCUCCGCAACCAUGGACCUGUGGUGCAGGAUGCCAUCGCCGAGCGCUGGGAGAACGAGUUCUGCGCCCUGGUCAGCCGGCUGUCCACGGCCGAAGUGCCCCAUGCGACCGACCAGCUCCACAUCCAGUCGCUCACCUCCUUCGGCCUGUGGCGGGACUUCCACCAGACAGGCGUGCUGGCCAAGGGGGAGGUGCUGGUCAGCCUGGUACUGGUGCUCUUGGCCGCCACCAUCUCCAGCUCCAUGCGGGACUGCCUGAGGGGGAAGCCGUUCCUGGGCCUCCUGGGGGUGCUGACCAUCUGCAUCGCCAACGUGACUGCCGCAGGGAUCUUCUUUAUAUCGGACGGGAAGUUCAACUCUACGCUGCUGGGGAUCCCAUUCUUUGCCAUGGGCUGGGGUCGGGCCCAAUCGAAGCUCUAAUACAGACAGAACAAGCAUGAAAUACAUGUGUCGUUCAACAUGGCAGUGUCAAGUUUUCAACACAUGCUCAUUCUGCGGUCCAGUUAAUAAUAAUAAUAAUAAUAAUAAUAAUAACAAUAAUAACAAUAAUGCAACAACAGUUUACAUAUUCUAAAUAAAGCGCAGUUUGGUUUUGCUAACACAACUUACAUUACCUACCUGACAAGUCAAUGCUGAUUUCUGACCCAUCCAUCCAGUCCGGUGCCCUCCUACAUACUUCAUAGUACACCUUCACACGUGUACUUUUCAUGUCUAGGCGAGGCUAAACGUUACACUGACAUAGUAUCCUCACAUCAUCUUAUUGCCGUGAGACUGGGCUGGACAAAGAGGGUUUGGAAUAUCAGUUUUUGACAGCUGUAUUGAUUUUUUUUUUAUUAAAUUAAUUUGGGUUGGAUAUUUGGCCAGCUAUAGCUGAUGUCUGUACAGUCGAUACUUUGGCUAUGGUUGGCUGUGUAUAAAAUAAACACAGACUGCAAAAACACAGAAAUACAUUUAUCCAAUAACAAAUAUUAUGUCUGAAUGCCCCUUUAGGAGCAAAAUUUCAAUAACAGGAGAUGCAUUGCCAAAUAAAACUGUGUAUGGCUUAUCCCUCCCUCUUUUUCUCCCUCUCUUAGCUCCUUCACAUAUACUGUGUCCGUUUAUACUACAGUAUAUCUUGCAUUUCCUCUCCGUGCGUUCCUAAGGUCAAUGGAUCCCUGGGGCUUUGGCACAGCUCUGCUGCAGGCCGGCUGACAUAACUGAAGUUUAAGUAAGACUCAGGAACAGGAGGCUGGGUCCGCUCCUUGUGACCUAGAGGCAGGGGAGGAGAGGAGAGGAGAGGAGAGGAGAGGAGAGGGGGGAGGUGUCGUGGUGAGAGAGGCUAAAAAGGAAAGUCAAGGAGAAAAGAGCGAGGAGUAAAAAUGAAUGUGAUGUAUAGGAAAUGAGGGUGCAGGGUAGGCGGGGGCAGGCAGAGCUAGAGAGGAGAGGUAGAGGAGAGGGGAAGACGGCGAGAAAGUCACAUAGAGAGGGAGGAGGUGGAGAAGGGCGAAGAAGAUGGAGAGGACUUGAUUAAGUCUGUAAUUUCAUGUGACAGGACCUCAGAGGCAGCAGAUGUCCACCCUCUUCUUGGGAGGUCCUGACUGAGGCACACCCCUAUCACUAUAUCAACGCCACAUCAGGCCAGACACGGAACUGAAAUGGAUACUGACACCUAAUCUGUAAUGUGGCGCCCCCUGUUGAGACAUCACCACUAUUGAAAGCUUUGUUUAGUAUAUAAUUUAAAGAGCAACCUGUAGGUUAAAGUUUAGGCUUAAUGGAAAAUAAGUAAACUAAAUAUAUGAUUUUGUAAUUAUGGUUUAUUUGUUAUGGUCUGACAAUGGCCGCAGUGCCCUUUGUGUAGUAGGUAGUAUUCUAGGUAGGUUGUCAUUAGAGAGUAGAUGAAGCAGAUGCAUUAUACUGAUCAGUCCUUGGUAUCUAUCCCAAUCCCAAUGCUAUGUUACUAGGCUAACAAGUGUCUUCAGGUUCAUCUAUGGUGGCUAUAGUCUAUAAUGUCUUUUAGAGUCCGGCCUAAAAAUGUUUCGUUCGUCCAGUUUAACCUUUAGAAGCCUUUGUGUAGCGUGUGCUGCUGCCACGGAGGAAAUAAAUACCUGACGAAUGAAAACUGCCGAAUCAGAUCAAAUCGUGCUCUGCUGUCACAGAAGAUGAGGAGCUGAGACAGAAAAAUGCUAACUGCUACAGAGAGAAUCAUUUUGAUCGCUUCCAAGGGCCUGACAGAAUGCAGAAUUUAUGUCCUGCUUUAAUGGUAUUAUUUCAUAUUUUACUUGUGUCUUAAUGGCGUUUUGCUUUAUUUGUCAGUGACAGUAGAGAGAGGUAGGAAAGGCAGGGUAGAUAAAGACAGGCAGCAAAUGGUCCAGGUGAGACUUGAACCCAUGGACUGGGUGGUACACGCUCCACCAGCCACCCAACUGUGUAUAUAUCAGAAUAAUAUGUUUCUAUUAUCAGAAUUGUCUAAUAUUCAGGGUACAUUUAUUUCCCCUGCAAUUAGUAAAUGUGGAAUCAAGUAUCGAGCAGUUACAGCUAGCCUACCAAGCUGAUGCCUCUGUUCUUACGUAGCGUUACUCUUGCCAGUAUUAGGAGGUCGCCACUGGUUUCGGUACUGCGCGGUAUGUGAUAGCAGACUUCACAGCAUUGUGAAUUAAGUAUUGUUAGCUAACACUCGUCACUCGCCAAGAAACCUGCCCAAAAGCAAAGACCCAUCCAUCUCAUUAAUGUCAAAAAUACCUUUGGAUAAAUAUUUAUUAUUGUUAAUAUUGACCCAGCUUGUCCAGUUUCUCAAUUUUGAUGUGGACAGUGUGUUGUAUGUAUAUAUAGAUAAAGAUAUAGUGUUUCAUUUUCCCAACAUUCAUAUUGGUCUUCUGGAAUCUUUCUGUGGAAAUUUCAUUCAUUUUCAACUCUGCUGUGUUUUGUGCUAAGCUACAGGUAUCUGUUGGCCACAUGCUAACAAACACCUUUGCUGUCGCGGAGGUAAUCAGACAAUCCUGGGCCCCAUUCUGCUCAGGCCUGGUGAUAUACACCAUAGACCUAAUUAUCUUAUCUGAAAAAAUCCCAUGGCUUCUUAGUUGGUUCUUGUUCCCUUCAUCUCCUCUGUGGAGGCUACAAUAACACUUGGGAUUAUAGUGUGCUAUUUAAAGCUCCUAUGUGUAGAAUUAUUGUGACAUCAUAGAAUCUUUCAGAUGUUCUGGUUGUGCAGUUUUUUCUAUGUAGAAACAUUAGAGGUUAUCGUUGGGCACUUUUAAUUGCCACUGUGUCUUUUCUUAAUACUACCACUGGGAGGUGCCGAGUUUUUAAAUACCCUCAGUGUGCAAGGGCUGUCAUGUUAAGGUCCAACUCAAACCACAAUUAGUCAGCCCUUUUUGCAGUGAAAAAUAAUGUCAUUAUGAUGGAUAUAUAUCAAAUAUGAUCAUUUUCUUUUAGCCUCCCAAGGGAUGUGUCACUGUUUGUGUUUGACUGACAACAGCUGGCAGAGAAGCGAAGAAACAAUGCAAAAACACUUUAACUGUAGCUUACGAGGCAUUGGCAGUGUGUUGUUAGCAGUGGCACUGAGCAAAGACUACACCAGUAUCCAAACUGACAAAGUAACUUUUCCAAGCUGUUAUAAGGGAUUUAUUUAAAGAUGUCCUGCUUAAUUUAAUUAUAGCUCAGAACAGUUUCUAAAAUAAGGCUCACAGUUAAAAUAUUUGCGAUCAGAAUUGGGUGGUAUAAGAACAUUGUGAUUUACAAUUAACAUGUUAAUCUUCUAACAUUCUUAUGAAUUGACCUGUAGCAAAUUGACUUGGUUGACACAUUUUUGGUUCUAUAUGUCAGUGUCAAGCCACACACACAGUAUUGUGUCGAGGCAUAGAUCUGGAACAAAACGCAUUAGCACUGAAAGUUCACACUGGGCUCCAUCACUGUAACAUGGAAGAGGUUUGGAACGCCCAAAAAUCUCCACCCAUCUCUGCACCUCUCCAUCUAUUAGGCCUGGGUGGCAAAGUAGCUGGCUGAAAGCCACUCCUGAGUGAAAGCGACCCACGCAACUGGUGUAUAUGUGUUAACACUUACAGCCAAAAAACUCUUCAGUCUGAUGAGACAGGAAUUGAACUCUGAUCUAAAUGCCAAGUGCUGUGUGUGGUGAGGUGCCGCUCUUGCUGCCAUGGCAGCAUAAUGCCAAUGCUGUAGUCACGAAUACCUUUGUCGAGUCCAAGACCAGGACUAGUCGAAACCAAUUUUGAGUCCAAGUGAAGUCUGAGUCUAAAGAGGUCCAAGUCCAAAUGAGAGACACAGUGUCAAGACUAAGACAGACAUUUUUUUCUUUUGUUUUAGCAGAUGUCGAUAUAAAUGGUAACCAUGUUACCAGGCUGCCGAUGUCAAUACCUGUUCUAGACAGAUUUUGAAUUAAUGAACCGCAGUUAUNNNNNNNNNNNNNNNNNNNNCAGACCUUUCUGCCAAAGUCUGUUAAA
rnacentral:lncRNA from 15 species